AGGUUGGGUUAAUUGUUACAAUAUAGCUGUGAAGUGCUAUAUUGUCCCUCCCCCCUGCUGAGAGUAAGUGUUUCCUAAAAUCUCUGUCUGACUCAUUUCCGUAGUAAGACAGGGACGCUUGGUCUCAAACAU
rnacentral:snoRNA from 1 species